UUUAAUUUCUAAUAUGGUGAUUCUUGAUAGCGAUAUUCCACAGAAGCAAAAGCGUUUAGGGGUUCUCAAAAUUUUUAAGAGUGACGGGGGGAGGGGGUUCCUGAGACCAAAAACUUUGAGCACCUCUGGUCGAAGAAAUGCAAAUUAAAUUUAGAUAUUCUGUUUGAUCCACUAGCCAGGCUAAAAUUUUCAAAAUUAAUAAUAUCAAGUGUUGGUAAGAGUACAUACUCGGAUUGCUUAAUGGGUUAUAAAUUGGUACAGUCACUUUAAAGGACAAUUAGGCUGUGUCUAUUAUAAGGGCUGGCAAACUUCUUCUAUGAAGACUAAAAGAAGGGGGGAGCCUUAUUUAUAUUUAAAGGCUUAUUUAUAUUUAAAAUAAUUAUAUUUUAAUGUUCAGUUGCUCUGCUCUUAAGUGCCUACGAAAGAAAUACACCUGUAUCGUUAUCUACUAUGGGCUGAGAAUUGUUUUCAUCAGUUUACAUAUAUUAAUCGACACAAAGGUCUUCGCAGAACAGUCUUAUCAGGUAAAUACUGACAGUUUCUCCAUUUUAUAGAUGAAGAAACUGACGCCCAGAAUGUUAAGUAACUCGUCUAAAGCCACGUAGCUAAUACACAGAUAUUGGCAGAAGCAUUACUUUGUAUAGCAAAAAUCUAGGAACAACCUAAACAUUUAGAGACUUUAAACAUCGUUCUGGUUGGGGCGUUUCCUCAUAUAGACUUCUUUAAGCGGUUUCCUGCCUUCAUUUCUUCGCCCACUGAAAUUUGCUGUUACAUUCAAAGUGUCAUGUCCUCAAAGCUCUGGUUGACCCGGCUGGCCCAUAACGAUCCCCAUUCUUCCUAAUCACCAGAGAUGAUGACAAUGAUGAAGAUAUAAUCUCUGAAGUGUAUGGAGUUUACUAUUGCCUAAAUAGGUCUUCUCAUCCCCUAGCAAACCACCAAUUGUUUAAGGCUUGGGAAUAGAUGGAUCUUCUGCUCCCUUUUAUUCCUUAGAGUCUGUCUCCAUUUCCACCACCUCUGUCCAAGUCACCAUCUUAACUUGUCUGAACCGAAAACCAUCUCCAGAUCGAUGACCCCGUUCCCAUCCUGCCUACCUGUGACCUGUUCCCUCCUCAGGAUCUAGAGUGAGCUUUACAUAAUGUUAACUUUAGACAAAAAGAGUAGCCCUGAAACCUUCUAAUGGCUUCUCAUUGGAUAAAAUUAUAAAUCAUCACCAUGGGCUUCAAAGCUUGACUUCCUUUGACCUGACCUCAUUUCCUACUGCCGUCCUGUCUCACUCAGCUCUGGGUUCUCAGUGUCAUUCAUUCCCUGUGAGGGACUGAGUCACUCCUGCUACAGAGCCUUCAUGUAUAUAUACGCUGUCCUCUCUGCCUGGAGACUCUUCCCUGAGAUGUUGGCCAGGUCCGUUCUUCCACAGCAUGAGGGUCUUGGCUAAAAUGUCCCUUAUCAGGGAGGCUGUGCCUGGCAAUUGUAUCUAGAUGAGCAGACCACCUCCAUCCAGCUCCUUUAUUCUCUUUUCCCUUCCUCAGCUUAAUCUUACCCCUUACCAGAAUCCCAUAUGCAUUCGUUUACGCUUUCUCCCCUCCCCCAACCUACAAUAUUGUCUGGGACACAACUGCUCCAUAAAUAUAUUGAUGGAAUGUGCCUCAGUCUCCUUCUAAAAUGGAAAGAAUACUGUCCCCCACAGGAUUAUUGUUAAUAAUUAUUAUUGUUUCAUUCUUAAAGUAUGGCAAGAAAUGCCAGGCACACUGCUAAACCCUUUCCCUGCAUGAUCUCACAUAAUCUCCACAACAAUCCAACCAGGGUGUUAUAAUCAUGAUCUCCCACUUUACAGAUCAGGAAACUGAGGCUCAGGGAGCGGAGAGUCAUUUGCCCAGGUUCACAGCCUGCGGGAAGUCAUGAAGGUCACAGCCAGGAGCUGCCUCCAGAGUUAACUGGCGUAAAGAAUGAGCGAACACGCUGGAAGCGUGGAGCUCUCUCUGAAGGCGCGGCAAGGCUCUUUCCAUGACUGCUCCCCGCAGGGCUGCGUGCAGGAUGCGAUAAUGGUCCCGGAGCCGGAUGUGCGCCCGCGCUGACGCUCCAGGUGAGCAGGGCCUCGGUGCGUCACCGUCCCUGUGGGCAGGGGGGCCGAGGAGGUGGAAGAGGGCUUUUUCCCCACGAGGGACUUUCUUAAACAGACUUUGGGAAGGGUGUUUGCUGAGACCGUAUUCUGAUCAGAUAACAAUUAGACACUAAUUCUUCUAUUUUCGGCUGGCACCGAACCCGGUCCCGGCUUUAUCGCCCGCUGGUUAUCUGUGUCGCCUGGAAGGAACUCCGGGUAAGGUACAGGAAAAAGGCGGGGGUAUUGUUGGGGCUUCCUGCUGGCCAGCACACUGGCCUAUUGUUGCGUUUAUUUUUUUAGACUAUCACAUCACAAUUAUUUUGGCAACAUCCUUUUUCCAUCCUGGACCCAAUACAAUAUUUAUUGAACUCUACAAACUGCGUCAACACGUGGUGCUUUCUGUAUUGUUGCCCACGUUCUUUAGGACAGUUUUUACAAUUCAUUGCAAGACUGUGCAGAUUGCCAUGGGAUCAGCCAUCCCUCCACCCUCGAAAUCAUAUAUUUUUAAACCAAAAGAGGCCUCCAAUAGGACCUUGCUCAACCACUCCAUUUAAAUAAUAAUAAUAAUAAUAAUAAUAAUAAUAAUAACAGAAUAGCAUUUCUUGAGAUUAUGAUGUUCCAGGCACUAGGCUCUACAUCAUCUCACGUCCAUGACUGUUGAUCUAUUUCCCAUUUUACAGAUGACAAAAGUGAGCUAAGGAAAGGGGGUGUCAUUACCCUCUCAGUAAGUCACAGAUGCGUCCUCUGAUCUUUGGAAGCCCUCCUGCAGACCUCCUCCCUGGAGAUGGGAGGAAUUACUUGUCCUUGAAACAUUUUGCCACUUUAACUCAUGACCAACUGAGUUGUGUGAGUAAUGGCCCUGCAGAGAGAGGAUCCCAUUCUCCUUGUCAAGACUGGUAGUAGUAUGUGUGCAUGAUUCACCCGGGUCCCAGUUAAUAAGAGCCCCUUAACUGCAUUUUGAAAGCCCUGAGCAAUAUGGCAAUAUGGGAGCUGCCACAACACCUCAUUCCUAUUUUCCCGUCCUAAUUAUUUCUAUUUGAUUGCAGGGGUGAGCCUUCCCACUGGAAUCAACAUCGUGAGAAAUAUUCUUUUCUUCAGCAGGUUCACAUCACUCAUCACUUUUUCCCCCAACACUGUCACUUUGGAUUCUUUAGCUGCGGUGUGACCGGAUCCACAGACUCAGAGCCUAAUUACUGAGAAUGUGUAGGGGGGUGGGGGGAGUGGCCAUCUUCAUUUCCUUCAAAAUAGGAGGCUGAGGCCCCAAGAGGAGGGUCCCUUUCUCUGGACCACACAGUCACGUGGUAGCAGAGGAGUCACUCAAAACAAGACAGGUAGCCUUUGUUGAAAACCUGUUAUGUGAUGACACAUUUCAUAAUGAAAUAAUAAUAUAAUAAUAGAAAUAAUAAAAAAGGAAAGCUAAUGGGGGGCGCCUGGGGGACUCAGUCGGUUAAGCGUCCGACUUCGGCUCAGGUCAUAAUCUCACGGUUCGUGGGUUCGAGCCCCAUGUCGGGCUCUGUGCUGACAGCUCAGAGCCUGGAGCGUGCUUCUGACUCUGUGUCUCCCUCUCUCUCUGCCCCUCCUCCGCUCAUGCUUGCUCUCUUUCUCUCUCUGUCAAAAAUAAAUAAACAUUUAAAAAAAAUUUUUAAUGAAAGCUAAUAAAACCUGAGCUUUUAUCAUUUGUCAGGUAUUAUGCAAAAUGCUUAAUGCAAAUUUUAAACAAAUCAUCCUCCAAUUUAAAGGCAAGUACUAACAUCGUCCCCAUUGACAGAGGGGAAAAAUUCUCAGAGAGGUAACUUAGCCAUGGGGAUAGGAUUCAACGACCCAGCCAUAUCUGUCAACAUGGCCCUUGCUUUACUGCAAACAUGGGGAAAAUGCACAUAGAAUGCUACCCUCCAAUGCCCUAACCUAGCUGAGAAGGAUCUUCCUAACUAUGGAUUUCUGCUGAGACAAACACUGAGAAAGACAGAUGGGUUUCAGUAGCCUGGAAAGUAAUAUUAUCUGCCAGCCCCACAGGCACUUUCCCUUACCUGUAGUUUCCUGUACCAUUUAAAUACUGAUGGGGCUUUUAAAAAAUGUGUUAUAGAAGGACUUCGAGACCAAUUCAAAGCCUUGAUCGUUUGGGUACAUAGAGACCUACCGUCACAAAGAAAACCGAGUAGUCCUCUUGCAUGAACGUAUAUGCAAGCCCUUCAGUUCAAUGAGUAUCAUGGAGACCCAAAGGUGUCUAUGUAACUGAUCCAAAUCUGCUCCAACAAAGAAAAUUAUGCCUGGUCAUCUGUGAGUACAGAAUGCCAGCACGAUGCAAGUGGUCUGGUUUUAAACGUCCAUGCCCUUAUAAAUAAGGCCCAAAGACUGCCACCCAUCAGCUGUAUGACCUCAUACAACUCACUCCACAUCUCCAGUCCCCAAUUUGUGCAUCUGUAAAAGUACAGAUGGACUGGACAAAAUGAAUGGUCUCUCCCAUCCAAAUGCCCUAUGGCUCCUUGACAGAUUGUUCUACGAUGAUCUCAUUCAAAUAGCACUUGUUUCAUGACCAGCCUAUUCAAUGAGAGACUCUAUAAUGCUGCAGCAAUACUGGCAGUGAUCCACAGUUGUGGACUAAGUCACAGUUGGUGAAUGUAUUCACAGUAUAUUCACAGUAUAUGUAGCAAUAUACUGAUCUCAGCAACACUGUGGUUCUUUACUACAUGGAUCCAUAUCUGCCUAGUGGGGGAGGGGGAGAACACCCCAGAGGCAUAACUAUGGCUACAUUAAAAAAAAUCAAUCUAAAAUAAUUUGACAAAAAGGUAAGUGCUAGUCCUGAAACAAGGAUUCUGGUGCUUAAAUGUAAUAGAUAAAUUAACUAAAAGGACCCCCCCCCCCAACCACCACCACCAAGGAGUUUACUUCUGGAGAACUUCUUCCCAUGCUUGUUUAGAAGUCUAUAAAGAACAUAUGCAUUAAUCAUGGAAAAGUUCAGAAUGAUUUUUGUCUUACCACUGGAGUCUUUCUAAUAUCUUCUUAUAUCUACGUUCCAGGUAAGGAAACUCGAGCACAGACUCACUACACUGAUCAAAAGAGGUUAAAUAAAAAAAAAAAAGACUGUGCAGAUUGUGAUGUUCCGUCCUAACCCAGCCAGUUCUACCCAAAUCCCUGUAGCUCAGGGUUUCUCAAACAUGGCACCAUCGAUGUUUGGGGCUAGGUAAUUCUUGGUGUAGAUGCCUGUCGUGUAUGUUGUCUGAUUUUUAGCGGCAUCUCUGACUUCUGCCCAUUAGAUGUCAGUAGCUCUCCCCUCUGGUUUUGACAAGGAAAACUAUCUCCAGACAUUGACAGAGGUUCUGUUUUCAGGCAAAGUCACCCCAAGCGAAAGCCAGAGAUACAGAUGUUCAAAGAAGGACAGAAUGGAUAGUAAGUCUUCAGCUCCCCCGGACUGAGGUCUGGCUCAGGACUCCUCACUCCUUCCCAGGUUCUCAAGAGCUAUUAGAAUUUAAUUGAAUUGAACUGAAUUGACUUCUGGCUCAAUUGCUGCAACGUCUUCGAGCUCCAUUUUCUCAUCUGUAGGAUGGGCACAGUGAUGCCUUCCUCACAAGGUUUUUAGGAGAAAUAAAGCACAUCAAGUGGCUGCCACAUAAUAAGCUUUCAAUUUAAAGUUCUUUUAUCUUGCUGUUCUUACCAACCCAUGAAAAUUGUUUUACAAGAACGGGCUCACUCUCUUGGCUACAAGAUCUUCACAUGUCUGAUUUACAGAAAUAGAACCAAAAGCCUUGAAGUCUCCUUAUUUUGAAUCCUGAGUAAUAUUCCACUUUUUUUUUCCAUUUUUGGUUUUUGGAUCUUUCCCCUAAAUAUUCGGAGACAGGAAUACAAGUUGGAUACCAGUGUAACUAUAGAAACAGCCCUAUCUUGUGGGAAUCAAAAGAGCCCUCCAGCUCUGGCCCUGGGUGAGUUCUCUCUAAACAGUGCUAUCUGCAACCCACACUGUUUGCAACUGUCAGUGGUUUUCAAAAGGCUUCCAGUUUCCCACGGGAAUAUAAGGAAAUUGGAAUUAUUAAACCAAACGAUAAGAGAAACAGGAACAAUGCCACAGCCCUCCGCCCCUGAAGUCCAGCAAAUUGGAAGUUCUUUGUGUAACACUUAUAAGGAUGCCAAGCCCUGCAGCGAUUGGUCACCAGGAAAAGGAAGAGGACGAGGAAAGGAAAGAGGAUACCGAGGGUCACAGCCACUUGAGCAAAGGAGCCAUCCAUCACCAGCGCUUCCCGGGCAGCACACACGUUUCCAGUCACAGAGGGCACCAGAUCCGGCCGGCCAAGGACAGAGGAAAAAAACAGCCUUGCCUCGGCUUUAUUAGUUAAGUGAACACACUCCUCAGGAGUAUUGAUGUAUUGACUAAUGAUUCUGACAUCCAGCGUGCUGAGAGCUUACAUGUUUAAAGGGCAAGAGUUACAAAUCAACAAGUUAUUAAUUUAAUUCCUCUUUGAAAAGGCGCCAAAGGUAGAGAAAGCAGAACUGGGAGCGUGGUCACGUUUGCUUCAGUCUAACUUCACCCCCCACCUUCUCAGCUUUGUGAAUCUUCAACACCAGGGUGUUGAAAGCAGAGGCCCCGGGCAGCAGGUCCCGGGCCCACAGAUCUCGGUUUGGGCCAGGAACUUUGCAUCCUUACCAUUCACCUCCUGCGCCAAGGAGUGAUGCAGAGCUCAGGACUCUCCACAAGUCCCGCCGGAGACUCAUCCUGAAAGUCUUCACGAGCCAGGCCCAGCAAUGGUGAGGAUACCACACAGCCCUGGCCCUUCCAAGAGAAGGGCCAUUUUCCAUCUGGUGAAUAUGCCCUCGCCUAUGAAGCCAGCCCUUCAGAUGGAGGAGAAAGCGUCUCGAGCUCUUUCUUCCCUUUGGCUUCAAACCAAGUCAGCCUCACACCAGGAGAGCGGCUGAGGUAGAACAUAACUCAG